AUAACUAUUGGAAACGAUAGCUAAUACCGCAUAACGUCUUCGGACCAAAGGGGGCUUCGGCUCCCGCGCAAAGAGUAGCCUAAGCGAGAUUAGCUUGUUGGUGAGGUAAAGGCUCACCAAGGCGACGAUCUCUAGCUGUUCUGAGAGGAAGAUCAGCCACACUGGAACUGAGACACGGUCCAGACUCCUACGGGAGGCAGCAGUGGGGAAUAUUGCACAAUGGGGGAAACCCUGAUGCAGCCAUGCCGCGUGUGUGAAGAAGGCCUUCGGGUUGUAAAGCACUUUCAGUUGUGAGGAAAGGUUAGUGGUUAAUACCCAUUAGCUGUGACGUUAGCAACAGAAGAAGGACCGGCUAACUCCGUGCCAGCAGCCGCGGUAAUACGGAGGGUCCGAGCGUUAAUCGGAAUUACUGGGCGUAAAGCGCACGCAGGCGGUUUGUUAAGCUAGAUGUGAAAGCCCUGGGCUCAACCUGGGAAUUGCAUUUAGAACUGGCAGGCUAGAGUUUUGGAGAGGGGAGUGGAAUUCCAGGUGUAGCGGUGAAAUGCGUAGAUAUCUGGAGGAACAUCAGUGGCGAAGGCGACUCCCUGGUCAGUAACUGACGCUCAUGUGCGAAAGUGUGGGUAGCGAACAGGAUUAGAUACCCUGGUAGUCCACACCGUAAACGCUGUCUACUAGCUGUUUGUGGAUUUAAUCCGUGAGUAGCGAAGCUAACGCGAUAAGUAGACCGCCUGGGGAGUACGGCCGCAAGGUUAAAACUCAAAUGAAUUGACGGGGGCCCGCACAAGCGGUGGAGCAUGUGGUUUAAUUCGAUGCAACGCGAAGAACCUUACCUACUCUUGACAUACUAGAAACUUUUCAGAGAUGAAUUUGGUGCCCUUCGGGAAAUCUAGAUACAGGUGCUGCAUGGGCUGUCGUCAGCCUCGUGUCGUGAGAUGUGGGUUAAAGUCC
rnacentral:rRNA from 1 species